AGGUAGGAAUACCCGUUGAACUUAAGCAUAUCAAUAAGCGGAGGAAAAGAAACCAACAGGGAUUGCCCUAGUAACGGCGAGUAAGCGGCAACAGCUCAAAUUUGAAAUCUGGCUUCGGCCCGAGUUGUAAUUUGCAGAGGAUGUUUAUGGUGCGGUACCUUCCGAGUUCCCUGGAACGGGACGCCACAGAGGGUGAGAGCCCCGUCUGGUUGGAUACCAAACCUGUGUUAAACUCCUUCAACGAGUCGAGUAGUUUGGGAAUGCUGCUCUAAAUGGGAGGUAAAUCUCUUCUAAAGCUAAAUACCGGCCAGAGACCGAUAGCGCACAAGUAGAGUGAUCGAAAGAUGAAAAGCACCUUGAAAAGGGGGUUAAACAGUACGUGAAAUUGUUAAAAGGGAAGCGUUUAUGACCAGACUUGUGUCGUGUGGCUCAUCCGAGGUUCUCCCCGGUGCACUCCACACGGCUCAGGCCAACAUCGGUUCUCGUUGGGGGAUAAGAACAGUAGGAACGUGGCCCUCUUCGGAGGGUGUUAUAGCCUGCUGUACGAUACCCUGAUGGGGACCGAGGACCGCGCUUCGGCUAGGAUUUGG
rnacentral:rRNA from 1 species